AAGCAGUGGUUCUCAAAUGACCACCAAAGUUAAGCAACAUUGAGCCUGGUCAGUACCUAGAUGGGUGACCACUUGGGAAUACCAGGUGGUGUAA